AUACGUAGGGGGCAAGCGUUAUCCGGAUUUACUGGGUGUAAAGGGAGCGUAGACGGCUAUGCAAGUCUGGUGUGAAAACCCGGGGCUCAACCCCGGGACUGCAUUGGAAACUGUGUGGCUUGAGUGUCGGAGAGGUAAGUGGAAUUCCUAGUGUAGCGGUGAAAUGCGUAGAUAUUAGGAGGAACACCAGUGGCGAAGGCGGCUUACUGGACGAUGACUGACGUUGAGGCUCGAAAGCGUGGGGAGC
rnacentral:rRNA from 1 species